CACCACUCAAGCCUGGCUUGGUCUUGGGCGGCGGGAGUCCCCCGCGCCCCCAAUUCAUCGGCUGGACGGUUCGAAUCUCAGCGUUGUGGUUUCAUCAAAUCGCUGGCGAGGACGACCGGACGCGCCGUCACAAAUUCAUUACA
rnacentral:misc_RNA from 1 species